GGAAGGUGCCGCUAAUGGUUGGCAACUGGUUUGGAAAAUCAGGGUAGACGCUUAGUCUAGAGGUUCGAUUCCUCCUCUUUCCG
rnacentral:tRNA from 1 species